AAUGGGGUUGUUAUACCUCAUUGACCGGAAGGAAUCCCUUCCGGCCAAUGAGGUUGUUAUACCUCAUCUACCAGAAGGAGUUCCUUCAGGUCUAUGAGGCAUAACAACCCCAUU
rnacentral:miRNA from 1 species